rnacentral:rRNA from 1 species
GUGCAGCAGUCGAGAAACUUUACAAUGUGCGAAAGCACGAUAAGGGAACUCUGAGUGCCUCCUAAGGAGGCUGUUCAGGUGUCUAAAAGCACCUGGAGUAAGGGCUGGGUAAGACCGGUGCCAGCCGCCGCGGUAACACCGGCAGCCCAGGUGGUAGCCACUUUUAUUGGGUCUAAAGCGUCCGUAGCCGGUUGAGUAAGUUCCUUGGGAAAUUUGGCUGCUCAACAGUCAAGCUUCCAGGGAAUACUGCUCGACUUGGGACUGGGAGAGGUCAGAGGUACUCCAGGGGUAGGGGUGAAAUCCAUUAAUCCCUGGGGGACCACCGGUAGCGAAGGCGUCUGACCAGACCAGGUCCGACGGUGAGGGACGAAGGCUAGGGGCGCGAACCGGAUUAGAUACCCGCGUAGU